UCUUGAUAUUGAAUAUGAUUUUCACAUUUGUGUCUAUUUUGUUUUGAAUUAGUGUUAAUUUAAUGUUAAUUUAAUGUGAAUUUACUAUUAUUUUGGACAUAUUUACACCGUGAUCAAAGGCCUCUUGAUUCUAGGUGAGGCAUCAGCUUCAGCCAACGCAGCCGGAACAGCGGUUAAUGGUUAUGGCGCAGGUAAUGGCGGCCAAAGUGGGUAUGGCCAGGGUGGGGCAGAAGAGGCAGCCGCAGCCGUAGUCGCAGCCGGAGGCUAUGGUCAAGGCGGGUAUGGUUCAAGCGGUGGUGUUGACCUGUAUUCUAGGUAGCUGUGGCAGCCGGAUCAGCAACACUCGCAGCAAACAAAGAAUUAGUAGCUUGUAAAUCAGCUCAGUAAAGUUUAAUAUAGCAGAUAAAUCAGAAGUUGUAUCAUUUGAAUCAAGUCCUUAAAAAAUGAAAAAUGACUAUUAAAUGUAAAUCUUGCAA